rnacentral:rRNA from 1 species
CAGCAGCCGCGGGAAUACGUAGGUGGCAAGCGUUGUCCGGAAUUAUUGGGCGUAAAGGGCUCGCAGGCGGUUUCUUAAGUCUGAUGUGAAAGCCCCCGGCUCAACCGGGGAGGGUCAUUGGAAACUGGGAAACUUGAGUGCAGGAGAGAAAAGUGGAAUUCCUAGUGUAGCGGUGAAAUGCGUAGAGAUUAGGAGGAACACCAGUGGCGAAGGCGGCUUUUUGGCCUGUAACUGACACUGAGGCGCGAAAGCGUGGGGAGCAAACAGGAUUAGAUACCCCCGUAGUCCCUGUCUCUUAUAC